GGGUUUGAUAAGGGCAAUGUAGUCCACAUCUGUCACUCCGUUGCUUGUCAGGAUUCUUGUAGCCAAUUUGUCUGACUGGGCAGGUGUCCCCUCUCUCCCUCAGUGCUCCAUGUGCAUACCUCUUGAAGCUUCGCGCUCUGUUGAAGAGGACACUCAUCCCAGGUAGAGAGGGGGACGGGAAGCUGGGCCAAUUGAAUUGUGUCCUUUUCUUUCCAUCAGACGAAGGCUGCUUAACUGGGACCGUUGACUUCCUAAGCUCUAAGUU
ensembl:misc_RNA 7SK 7SK RNA